rnacentral:rRNA from 1 species
UACGUAGGGUGCAAGCGUUAAUCGGAAUUACUGGGCGUAAAGCGUGCGCAGGCGGUUCGCUAAGACAGAUGUGAAAUCCCCGGGCUUAACCUGGGAACUGCAUUUGUGACUGGCGGGCUAGAGUAUGGCAGAGGGGGGUGGAAUUCCGCGUGUAGCAGUGAAAUGCGUAGAGAUGCGGAGGAACACCGAUGGCGAAGGCAGCCCCCUGGGCUAACACUGACGCUCAGGCACGAAAGCGUGGGGAGCAAACAGG